AGUGAACGCUGGCGGUAGGCCUAACACAUGCAAGUCGAACGGCAGCACAGAGGAGCUUGCUCCUUGGGUGGCGAGUGGCGGCCGGGUGAGGAAUACAUCGGAAUCUACUCUGUCGUGGGGGAUAACGUAGGGAAACUUACGCUAAUACCGCAUACGACCUACGGGUGAAAGCAGGGGACCUUCGGGCCUUGCGCGAUUGAAUGAGCCGAUGUCGGAUUAGCUAGUUGACGGGGUAAAGGCCCACCAAGGCGACGAUCCGUAGCUGGUCUGAGAGGAUGAUCAGCCAACCUGGAACGGGGACACGGUCCAGGCUCCUACGGGAGCCAGCAGUGGGGCAUAUUGGACAAUGGGCGCAAGCCUGAUCCUGCCAUACCGCGUGAGUGAAGAAGGGCUUCGGGUUGUAAAGCCCUUUUGUUGGGAAAGAAAUCCAGCUGGCUAAUACCCGGUUGGGAUGACGGUACCCAAAGAAUAAGCACCGGCUAACUUCGUGCCAGCCGCCGCAGUAA
rnacentral:rRNA from 1 species